rnacentral:rRNA from 1 species
CCUACGGGUGGCAGCAGUGAGGAAUAUUGGUCAAUGGGCGCGAGCCUGAACCAGCCAAGUAGCGUGAAGGAUGACUGCCCUACGGGUUGUAAACUUCUUUUAUAAAGGAAUAAAGUGAGGCACGUGUGCCUUUUUGUAUGUACCUUAUGAAUAAGGAUCGGCUAACUCCGUGCCAGCAGCCGCGGUAAUACGGAGGAUCCAAGCGUUAUCCGGAUUUAUUGGGUUUAAAGGGUGCGUAGGCGGAUUGAUAAGUUAGAGGUGAAAUGUCCGGGCUUAACUCGGGAACUGCAUUUAAUACUGUUAGUCUUGAGUGUAGGAGAGGUAGGCGGAAUGUGUGGUGUAGCGGUGAAAUGCUUAGAGAUCAUGCAGAACACCGAUUGCGAAGGCAGCUUACCGGUCUAUAUCUGACGUUGAGGCACGAAAGCGUGGGGAGCAAACAGGAUUAGAUACCCUUGUAGUC